AUGGUAUUGGAUGGAGGUGCUCCCAGCACUGCAGAAAAGUAUAUGACUGCAGAGAAGGUCAAUCUUGAACAUGGCUCUAUCUGGCUGAUGAAGUCAUCCGACAAACUAAAAGAACAUGCUCUCCAUCUUGUGGCCGUGAAGUGCAAUAACAGGCCUCUCGGUCCACGGAUAGCUGCCGCCGAAGCAUGGCGUAAGGCAAUGGUCUCAGUCUACACGCUCGCUGACCAGUGGUUUGAUAAACAUGGCCUUCACUUAUUCUUGCUUCUCGUUCUUAUUAGCAUAAUCACGAACACUACCGUACUUUUCAUACCGUCGUUGUCGGGAGACCGAAUCAUAUUCCCAUUUACCGCAUCAAUAAUGGUUAUGGCGUCUAUACUAGGAGCUUCACUGUUCUGGUUCGGAGGGAUGGGUCUUCUGUUUACCUGGCAAAAUUGGGUCUCCAUCACCAAGAGGAAAGUGACUGUGUUCACAGUCUGACAUCUGAUCUGUGGUCAGUUACAUGUAGGAGUGAGGAUGAAACGGCACAUCAUGCCACUAUCUUGAUUGAUGUAGUCAGUUUUUAAUUUCUUGCAGUUGUUUUUGCAUUAUUGUAUGAUAAAGAAAGCAUGCUGACUACAAAGUAAUCAAGUAACCUUUUAGAAUCAAAGGUUGAAUCAUUUCCCAGAAUUAAUUUCUUGAACAUUGAAUCAGGCCUGCUGGAUUGUGGAUAAGGUAGUAGUGUAAGUGACUGAUUAUGCAAGAUAUUUUUUCAAGGCAAAUCUUGUUCUUUCUGUGAGGUAAUGAAUGUUUUGUAGAUUGUUAAAGAUGAGCUCUAAUAUUUCCUGAGAUAUUUCAAGGUCAAAUUGCAUGGCUUGCCUGAAUGGGUGCACAUUUCUGUCAAAUCAGUUGUUUAUGAAUAUAGAAGGACAAGGUGGUCAGGGGACAUAUGGGUGAUGUCACCAUUACUGGUUUUUAAAAUUGGCUUGUUCUUAAGCUUUUCCUUUGGUAUAUCUACGUGAUGAAGUGAUGCAUAUAUAAAGUCAAUUUAUUUUUUAUGUUUUAUAUUUUCAAAGUUUUAUGUCGUACUACUUACUAGUAUUACUAAUUAAUGGAAAUUAAUGUUGAGCCUAUAAUGUAAUACAUAUAUUUUUAGUUUGAUCUGUUUUUGGGCUACUGUCUCAUGCAGGAUUGUGAAACCUUAUAAAAAAAAAGUGCUAACUAAAAUGAAUAUAAUAAAGAGAUUCAUGAAGAAAGUAUUUAUUGCCUU
rnacentral:lncRNA from 1 species